GACGAACGCUGGCGGCGUGCUUAACACAUGCAAGUCGAACGCUGAAGCUCAGCUUUUGUUGGGUGGAUGAGUGGCGAACGGGUGAGUAACACGUGAGUAACCUGCCCCCUUCUUUGGGAUAACGCCCGGAAACGGGUGCUAAUACUGGAUAUUCACUGGUCUUCGCAUGGGGGUUGGUGGAAAGGGUUUUUCUGGUGGGGGAUGGGCUCGCGGCCUAUCAGCUUGUUGGUGGGGUGAUGGCCUACCAAGGCUUUGACGGGUAGCCGGCCUGAGAGGGUGACCGGUCACAUUGGGACUGAGAUACGGCCCAGACUCCUACGGGAGGCAGCAGUGGGGAAUAUUGCACAAUGGGCGCAAGCCUGAUGCAGCGACGCCGCGUGAGGGAUGGAGGCCUUCGGGUUGUGAACCUCUUUCGCUCAUGGUCAAGCCGCAACAAUGGUUGUGGUGAGGGUAGUGGGUAAAGAAGCGCAGGCUAACUACGU
rnacentral:rRNA from 1 species